UCAUAGACAUCAUCAAUGCCCUGCUUGCUUUGAUGUACCAUUAAGAAGACGAUCUUUCCUCUAACAGCCCCAUACAACUGAGCAGUGCCACCAAGUCAUACUGGACAGAAGGAAGGCCCUGUGAGUCUAUGAAGUGGCAAAAUGAGUAAACUGAUUGGCUGAAGACAGAACUAAUCAUCCUAAUGGUAUCUAACUCCAGGGCCUACGUUAAUAGCAUAUAUUUCCAUCUGUGUUUAAUAUGCCUCAGAGGCUGAGGCAGAUCUUGCUUGGUGAGGCACCAUCUGCCUAUAGGGAUUAGAUCCGAACCACAUUACCCAUAUAUGCUCAGAAUGGUCUGUCAGGAACACCCUUGUUAAUAGUUUAGCUGAUACUGUUUCUCUAAGGUGGAAGUAAAAAUUACUAAAUGAAAGAGCAAA
rnacentral:antisense_RNA from 1 species